rnacentral:rRNA from 1 species
UGGGGAAUAUUGGACAAUGGAGGGAACUCUGAUCCAGCAAUUCUGUGUGUGUGAAGAAGGUUUUAGGACUGUAAAACACUUUUAGUAGGAAAGAAAAAAAUGACGGUACCUACAGAAGAAGCAACGGCUAAAUACGUGCCAGCAGCCGCGGUAAUACGUAUGUUGCGAGCGUUAUCCGGAAUUAUUGGGCUUAAAGGGCAUCUAGGCGGUAAGACAAGUUGAAGGUGAAAACCUGUGGCUCAACCAUAGGCUUGCCUACAAAACUGUUGAACUAGAGUACUGGAAAGGUGGGUGGAACUACACGAGUAGAGGUGAAAUUCGUAGAUAUGUGUAGGAAUGCCGAUGAUGAAGAUAACUCACUGGACAGAAACUGACGCUGAAGUGCGAAAGCUAGGGGAGCAAACAGG